rnacentral:rRNA from 1 species
UACAGAGGUCUCAAGCGUUGUUCGGAUUCAUUGGGCGUAAAGGGUGUGUAGGUGGCGCCGUAAGUCGGGUGUGAAAUCUCGGGGCUUAACUCCGAAACUGCAUUCGAUACUGCGGUGCUUGAGGACUGGAGAGGAGACUGGAAUUCAUGGUGUAGCAGUGAAAUGCGUAGAGAUCAUGAGGAAGACCAGUGGCGAAGGCGGGUCUCUGGACAGUUCCUGACGCUGAGGCACGAAGGUCAGGGGAGCAAACGGG